rnacentral:sRNA from 1 species
AAGAAUACUGCCCUGCGGAACCUCGUAC